CUUUAAUCACUUACUGAUUUUCUUUGUAGCAGAACAGUAUUAAGCAUGCCAUUUCUGUUCUUGACUCUGUAACUGUAUUCUAGUCUUAAAUACACAACCAUCAUAAUGACCUGCCAUUUCUUCUUGAAAGGAAUCUUCGAGACACUGCACUGGGAGCAAAGAGACAGAGCUGAAUAUGUUUAAAAGAGGUCGGGAAGCAGAAGAAGAGUGGAGGGGUGCACAGGCCCUCAGGGAGCAAAUUAAAGUCAUGCUCUCCGAAAAAGAGAAGGAGGUGGAACAUAAAUUGGAAUCCCUGAAGAGACAACAGGAAAAAGAACUCUUUAAAUUAAAUCAGGAAAACUACAUUCUUCAAGCCAAGUUAAGUAGCUUUGAAGAAACAAGCAGAAAACAAAGAUGGUUACAGUUUGGAGAGGCAUCUGAUCCCAUUACUGGAGAAAAACUGAAGCAAAUCCAAAAAGAGAUAGGAGAACAAGAGACCCUCCUUCAAGGCUAUCAGCAGGCUUGGCAGUUCUUCAGCCUCCUUAGAAACUAACCUGAUUUUCCUUAGCUGUCUAUGUUGUUUUGCAAUAAUCUUAGCUAGUUUUGGUAUUCUAUUCAGAAAUAGUAAUCUGAAUUCAAUUCCUAACACCCCAGAGGUGAACUUUUUUUUUUUUCUAAUGUGGGUUCUGUUUGUUUAUAGGGGCAGGUAUUUCCAAUUUGUAACAGCUGGACAGGUUUAAGACGUUCUCUUCCCUCUCUG
rnacentral:lncRNA from 1 species